GUGGUGGCAAAAAAUCGGAAGCCACGACUGUUUACUAAAAACACAGCUAUCUGCAAUGAUGUAAAUCAUAGUAUAGGUAGUGAGGUUUGCCCAAUGCCAUCAGCAUAAGAAACGUAAUGGGAAACUGUUAAAUAUCGAAAGCCUGGUUAAUAGCGGUCUUAACCAUGAGGAUCCUAAGGUAGCAAAAUAAAUUGGCCAUUAAAUGUGGUCCGGUAUCAAUAAUUUAACGAUGGCUUCACUGUCUCUACAACUUGCUCAGUGAAAUUGAAUUGUGAGUGCAGAUG
rnacentral:rRNA from 1 species